AACGAACGCUGGCGGCGUGCCUAAUACAUGCAAGUCGAACGAGAAAGCGUAGCAAUACGUUAGUAAAGUGGCAGACGGGUGAGUAAUACAUAGGGUAAUCUACCUUCGAGAUGGGGAUAACCUUCCGAAGGAGGGCUAUACCGAAUGAGACCACAGAGAUUAAUUUCUCAGGGGUAAGGUAGACCUCUAUUAUAAGUUAUCGCUGAAGAUGAGCUUAUGCACCAUCAGCUAGUUGGUAGGGUAAUGGCCUACCAAGG
rnacentral:rRNA from 1 species